rnacentral:lncRNA from 1 species
AUAUCCAAAUGGCGCCACGUAGCGCGGCUAUAAUCGCGUAAGCGGUGUCUACGCCAAUUAAGAAGAAGAAUUAGGAUACGAAGAAGCACCUCCACAUUUGUGGAAGGGUCUACUGCCACGGAGAAGGUGCUGCAUUCGCAGUUGUGCUUCCAGACAGGCGACGAUUUUCGAGUUUCCAAAUAAAGAAGAUGUUCGACAGAGUUGGGCAAAGGCUUGCAACUUAGUUGUGUCGCCUUCCGAUACCCUUUUUAUUUGCCGAAAUCAUUUUGACUCGCAGUUUGUCACUAAAUACAAACUUUUGCCUGGGGCUUUUCCAUGUUUACGAUUAGAGCCAGCACUAAGUCGUAGCUCAUCUAGUUCUGACUCUAAUUAGGUGUGCGCACCCAUCACUGCGACUUAUGAACGUCUUAAAGUAGCUGUAGGAGUAGAAGAGGACGACAUAACAUUGAAAGAGUUCGAACAAUAUUCCAUAUUAGAGGAAAGUAGGUUAAAAUAACGCUCUGCUUUAGACAGUCGCGAACGAUUUGCUCGAUCGGCACGGUAUUACCAAAGUAAUACGCUUAGAUUAAAUAAAAAGAUCGAAGAGUUAGUGGGGGUGAUUAAAGAUUUAGACAAAAAUAUGAAGACCUAGAAACACGUGCAAUAGUUGCAGAUGUAACUUCAAGCUCUGACCCUAUAACAUUCGCUAGGAUGAUCGUUACCAAGCGCAAUGUUUAUAGAGACAAUGAAAGGACAUUGGCACAAAACAUUAAUUAUAUGUCCACCAAAUCAUAUAGUUUCAUGCGUGACAAUUUAGAUUUUGCUUUACCAAGCAAGAGUUCUCUUUUGCGUUGGCGCCCAAUUAGGUAUGUUGUCCCUGGUAUCGAUGCCAAUGUCUUGGGAAAUUUAGAAAAAAUUUCCAAAAAAAUGUCCGUUUUAGAACGGAAUUGCGUUUUGUUAUUUGAUGAAAUCUCAAUAAAGUCCGACCUAACUUAUAAUAGAGUUAGGGAUGUUAUUGAUGGGUUUGUGGAUCAUGGGGAUGGCCAACGUGAUAUGAUUAUAGGUAGUAAGUGUUGUUUUUUUAUGGUAAAAGGGUUAUGUUCCAAUUGGAAAUAUGUAUUUUCAUACUACAUUUCCAAGACGGGACUUGCUCCAUCAGAAAUGAAAGAAAUUUUGAGCAAAAACAUCCCAUCACUAAAGUCAAUAGAUCUCAACUUAAAGGCUUUAGUCUGCGAUCAAGGGCCUUAAAAUUCUUGACUUUUCAAUUUGUUAAAAAUUACAGAAGAAACCCCCUUUUAUAUGCACGAAGGUUUAAAAAUAUAUUGUUUAUAUGACUAUUGCCACCUUAUUAAGUCCAUCCGUAACACAUUUAUGAAAUAUGAUAUUUCAACUCUAAAUGGCAUAGCCAGCUUCAAAGUUAUAAAAAAACUUUACUCUAUCGAUCAGAGCAAUAUGCAUUUUAAAAUAUGCCCAAAACUUACAGAGGCCCCACGUUUAACGUGCAACUCACGUUGUGAGCAAUUCGGUCGCUGCUGGCAUUGAAAUGGCAUAUAGCCAUAUCAAGCUUCCAGUCUCUAGUCAGGUUAAGUGUAUUAGUGGGUUUUGUUUCACAAUAAGUGGAAUGAUUCAGUUGAGCGAAGAGCUAUUUAGGGAUAAAGAGGAAUUGAGGUAUAUAUUCCUUGGGAAAAUUAAUCACGAUGCGUUGAAGAAUUUUUUUUUUAGAGUCCGAGCUAUCCUAGGCCCCGAAGAUCGCCAUCUAGAUGUACAGGGAAACGAAGAGGAAUCUGAGCAACUCGACCUGGAAUCCUUCACUAUUCCAGACGAAAAUUUUGUUGAAGAGGAAGACAAAGCUGACGUCCAGAUCAAGCGGUAUUACACUGGCUAUGGUAUUUACCAAAAAAUUUUGUGUAAAAUCCAUUGCGAAAAAUGCACCAAAGCAAUGACGAAGACACAAAGCGAUUUAACGCUGUAUUCGGCAGCCCAAAUCAGAGCUAAAAACCAUAAGGAUGACGGCUACUUAAGGCUAGUCAAUCCUAGUGAUAGGGUCUUCGAAGUGUGUCGACUGCAGAUGAUGUGGUACGUCAAGCUCUUUAGCAAAUUUGCUCACUAUGUAAAUGUUCGUAGUCUGAUGUUGUAUGCCAUAAAACAAAAAACGGAAAGUGCUUUUCCUCAAUGGUUUGAUACAACCAAUACAUGUUUCGCCCAUAAAAUUAAACUAUUAGAGUAUUUACUGACUGUUCUGUUAUAUAAAAAUUCCAAAUGGUUUGAAAAGCAAGAAAUAAAUAGGGAACGACAUAGGAAGCGCGAUGCUAAAAUAAAAAAACUUAAGUAAGUUGCAAGCCAGAAUGCUUUGAUUAAGAGCAUCUUACUUUCGGGUUUUUUCUACUUUCAGUUUUCUUUUAUUAUUAUAUUUUCAGGAUUAUUUUUUUUCUUUUUCAAUAGCAUGCCAACUGAGCCUAGCUUUUUUAAACACAAAUAUUGCACUUAAUGUAGAUGGAUUAAAUUGUGUUAAAAGAAGCAGGUGAAAUUAAAUGACUAAUUUUAAUCAAUAAGUCGUGAGAGAAAUUUCCAUUUUAAAUGGACAAUUUUGUAAUUCGGCAUUAUUUAAUUUUUUUUAAACAUUUUAUUAAAAUUUUGAAAUUGUUAAGUUUCCAAUAAAUAAUAGAAAAAAUCAA